rnacentral:rRNA from 1 species
GAUGUGAUGGGGAGCGAAAUUUAGUAGCGAAGUAGCUGAUUUCACACUGUCAAGAAAAGUCUCUAUCGAGGUUAAAGGUACCCGUACCGCAAACCGACACAGGUGGGUGAGGAGAGUAUCCUAAGGCCAGCGAGAGAACUGUUGUUAAGGAACUCGGCAAAAUGACCCCGUAACUUAGGGAUAAGGGGUGCCACCAUCAGGUGGCCGCAGAGAAUAGGCCCAAGCGACUGUUUACCAAAAACAUAGGUUUCUGCUAAGUCGCAAGACGAUGUAUAGGAGCUGACGCCUGCCCGGUGCUGGAAGGUUAAGGGGAUCUGUUAGAGCAAUCGAAGCAGUGAACUUAAGCCCCAGUAAACGGCGGCCGUAACUAUAACGGUCCUAAGGUAGCGAAAUUCCUUGUCGGGUAAGUUCCGACCCGCACGAAAGGCGUAACGAUUUGGGCACUGUCUCAACAACAGACUCGGUGAAAUUGUAAUUCCGGUGAAGAUGCCGGAUACCUGCGACAGGACGGAAAGACCCCAUGGAGCUUUACUGUAGCUUGACAUUGGGUCUUGGUACUACAUGUACAGGAUAGGUGGGAGGCUUUGAAACCAGGACGCCAGUUUUGGCGGAGCCAUCCUUGGGAUACCACCCUUGUAGUACUGGGACUCUAACCAUAGGCCAUGAAUCUGGUCUUGGGACACUGUCAGGUGGGCAGUUUGACUGGGGCGGUCGCCUCCCAAAAGGUAACGGAGGCGCUCAAAGGUUCUCUCAGUACGGUCGGAAAUCGUACGUAGAGUGUAAAGGCAAAAGAGAGCUUGAUUGCAAGACAUACAGGUCGAGCAAGGAUGAAAAUCGGACUUAGUGAUCCGGUGGU